rnacentral:tRNA from 1 species
UGGCUCAGUUGGUAGAGCAUGGUGUUUGCAACGCCAGGGUUGUGGGUUCAAUUCUCAU